rnacentral:rRNA from 1 species
UACGGAGGGUGCGAGCGUUGUCCGGAAUUACUGGGCGUAAAGGGCGAGUAGGUGGCCAUCUAAGUCAGACGUGAAAUCCCCCGGCUUAACCUGGGAACUGCGUCUGAUACUGGACGGCUUGAGUAUGGGAGAGGAAUGUAGAAUUCCAGGUGUAGCGGUGAAAUGCGUAGAUAUCUGGAGGAAUACCGGUGGCGAAGGCGGCAUUCUGGACCAUUACUGACACUGAAUCGCGAAAGCUAGGGGAGCAAACGGG